GAUUUAGGGAGGGCUAUAUAAAGGCCAAUGAUUUUCUGUAACUUGGUUAGAAAAAUUUUGUACUAAAAAGAGAAAAAUCUUGUAUUGUAAAAAUACUGAAAUACAAACAAAGAAUCAAAAACAAUUUUUGAAGGUAAUUUUCUUUGUGUUUUAUUUAUUUAUCUACUUUUUUUUUCUUUGCUUCUCUGUUUUUGGUGCAAAAGAAAAAGCAAAAAGAAAAGGACGAAACUUACAUGAAUUGGAGUCGGCGGCGAAGCUUGAACGGCGGUGGCGUGGCGAUAGUUAGGGCUUUAAAGAAGGCCUAGCAGAUCCCUCUUUCUUCCCUCUGUUGUUUUAAAAAAGAAAAAGGAAGAUGAAGCAAUUUUGCGCCUAUUGCUGCUGCAGAGUAGGCUUUUAAUUGGAGAUGAAAAGGGUUUUAAACACUGAUGGGUUAUUUGCGUUUUUAAUCCUUCAUUUUAUCCCAUCAUUUCAAAAUCAUUGUGGUUUGUUUUCAAAUUUUGCCAUGAAAUGUUGAAUUUGUUUUAUUUUAAUCCAUUGCUGCGUGGAGUUUUGGACGGAGGGAUUAAUUUCACUUUCGGUCCUCCACUGUUAACUGCAUGUUCCAUUUGAUCCAUUGGUGUUUUGUUUAUUUCAGAUUUUCCCCUGAAACUUCAAUUAUUUUCAAUUUAAUCCAUAAUCUUUCAUUUUAAGUUUUUUAGUUUAUUUUAUUAAUAUAAUUAUUUUUAUUUUUAUUAUUACUAUUAUUAUUAUAUUUAUUAUACUUACAUAUAUACACGCAUGUGUACUUUAUAAUAUAUGUGUAUAUUUUUUAUUUCUAAAUGUUUUAAAUAUAUAUAUAUAUAGUGCGUAUAUAUUUUAUUACCAUAUUUUAUAUAUAUAUAGUUUAUAUAUAUAUAUUAUAUACAUUCAUAUUUUUUAUAAUUAUUUAUGUUUUCAUGUUUUAUAAUUCAUAUGUUUAUACAUUUUUUAUAAUAUGUACAAAUCAUAUACUUCAUUAUUACUUUAUUUUUCUUAGUUUUAUAUGCAUACGUACAUAUACUUACAUUUUAUGAUUUUCACAUCGUUUUUCAUUUUUUUUAAAAGAAAUUAAAAUAUAUAUUUUUUACAUAUAUGCAUAUACAUAUAUUAUUAAAAACUUUUAUAAAUAUAUUUUCCAUAUAUUUUUAUAUAUACAUAUAUACCUAUAUUUUCAUAAUUAUUAAUAUAUUAUGCUUACGUUUUUAUUUUUAUGACAACUCAUUAUAUUUUAUGAUUAUGUUCUUUUUAUAAUUUUUGUAUACAUAUAUAGGUAUAUUUUAAAUUAGAGUAAUGAUUUCAUGUUACGCAUUAGCGUUUUAUCAUACUUUUAAAGAAAAAUCUAUUUUUGCUUCGUCAAAGCAUUAAAAUCGUUUUUUUUAAUUUUUAAAUAUUUAGCAAUCAUGGUUCUCGAGAAAGAUCGUGUCCUAACUUACUGGAUCAUGAUCAUUUUUUCGAUGAAUUUAACGAGUUAAGUAUUUAUUUUACAAUAAAUUUGCAAUUUUCAAAUAAAACCUUAUUCUCAGGAAUUCAAAAUGUCGGGUCCUAACUUACUGGUCGUGACAUUUCGUUAUCUCGAAAUAAGAAUUUCUAAAACAAAAAGUAAUAUUCGGUAUUUUGAAGAUAUAAAAUAUUGUGCCCUAACUUACUGGGUGUGGUGUUUUAUUUCUUUGAAAUGAGAAUGUUUUAUCAUUUUAGAUCCAUUCACGGGUUAAAAAUUUCUAUUUAAAAUCUUUUCAAAUUUUCGACAUCAAGACAUUAAAUAAUCAAUUUGGUACCGAUUUUUGGGCGUUACGAGGGUGCUAACCCUUCCUCGUGCGUAACUGACUCCCGAACCUGUUUUCUCAAAUUUCGCAGGCCAAAAUUGUUUUUAAGGUGAGCCGAUCACACCUCAAUCAAGGAUCGGUGGCGACUCCAAUUUUUAUUUUCAAAGUCGAUAACUUAUUUUUGUUUUCAAAAAAAUGGUUUUGACAGCUUGACGACUCCAGUGGGGACCAUUAGAGAGUCGAGCCAUGAAUUGAUUAUCUUUUGUCUUUUUUGUCAAAAAUUAAAGUUGUUUUAAAACCUGAUUUUCUCUUUGUAUUCAUUAGUUUUAAUUGUCAUAUGCUUGUUUGGUUGGUUUAAGUCUGUCGGUUUAUUUGCAUUUUUGCAUUUCAUGGUCAAUUUUACCCCUCUAAGUGGAAGUGAGAAACUAGUCCUUCGUGAGGUUUUCACCUCCGUGUACGAUAGUGGAUCGCUUUCGGAAUACAUCUGUACCUAUGUCUUCGUGAGAUUUUCAUCUCCGUGCAGCCAUAGGGAAAUAUAUUCCCCUGAACCGAACUUGGUCCAUAUGAGCCUAUAAUGGGUGAGGAUCGAGGAAUCUGCUGGUUCGGGUACCCUUGCUCUAGAAGCCAAAACCUCAUAUAGUGAACCUUAGGAACCCACCCUAGGUAGAAUUACUUUGAACCUUAGUAGACACCUAAUUAGGAGUUUUUACUAUUUCUUGGUUGUAUUGUAUUUAAUUGUUACUGACUUUUUGUGUUUUACUCUGAUUGCAUGGCAUUACAAUUACAUGGCAUUCCAUUAUAAAGUGGCGUUUCGUAUUCGGUUGCUAGACAGAAAGUUUAUCAUGGGAAAUGGGUUUCUUGAUAAAGUGGAAGAUAAUACGGCUGCCUGAAUAUAUUCCAAGAAACGCUAGAAGGGUGAUGGAGGAAUACAUGACUUUACUUCGUGCCUCAAGGUCAAGCUGAUUAUUCAAGAGUUUCUGACAUUUCAACCUCAUUAAAGAAGCUGAUAACCCUUACGAGGAUGCGCAGACGUUGGAUUAUAACCAGGAUCAAGUAAAAAGGGAGGUAGAGGAGAUACCCCUUUUGAAGAAUUCGCAAGAUUUAUCUUAGCAUCCAGAUGAAGAAGGAGAAGAUGUCUUCGCCUGGAGUAUGAGGCAAAGCCGUAUAUAUAUAUCCGCUUUAUGUAAAGAAAUUCGUCUUCUAGUAAAGUUUUCUAAAUGGAAUUGAAUCAGAA
rnacentral:lncRNA from 1 species